CCAUGUGACAGACACAGACAAGACAGACAGACAGACGCACAGUCUCACGUGUUUCCCAGGGCGAUGUUGGCCUGUCAACUACACACCAAUGCAAGGACCAACAGAGCACCAAUCUUCUGCCAUUCCACAGAGGAAAAAGAAAACUUGGGCUAUGCCAUUGCCUGCUGUUUUGCUGGUCUGCAGGUAGUUAUGUUUAAAGGGCAGAGCACUUCCAAUUGCUUGGCACUACCAGAGCCAAGCUGGUUGUAUAGUAGAAGGUGUCUUUGCCACUUUCAUCCAUUUCCAGAGAGGGUCCAUGAGGUGAAACUGACAACCAGUUGCUGCUCACUGCUUUACCAUGGCACUCACCGGCGUGCAGCUGCUGUAAGCAGCAGUCGUGACAGACAAAUAAACAAUUGAGAAUA